ACGAUGUUCCGCUGCGAUUAAGAAAUGGUUGCAAGAGCAUCUG
rfam:Bacillus sp. FJAT-18017 genome.